GAAUGAACUGUCCUGCACGCGCCAGCUUCCUGUGAAUUUCACCUAGCACCUGUCGACAUUUUGGCCUCAAGAUGAAUCCCAGAGAACUUCAGCUAACUUCCACAUGCACGUCUAGAGAGUCCACAGUAAGGUCGUAUGGGUCCAUGUGAAGGUUGUUGAAGACUUCUUUGAGUGUGAUCUUCUGACCACCUUUCUCCAAGACCACACGAUCAGCCUCUGUCUGAUUGAGCUCUCCAUCAGAAAAGGCCGCUGGGCCCCAGUUGGUGAUCAGCUGCGGUCCCUUUGAACCUGGUAGGAAAAUAAAAAAGGAGUCUUUUCACCAUAGAGGUUGCCAAAUAAUUAUUGGUUUCCCCUGCCAUCCAUUCCAGCCAGAAAUGCUGUCUUGACACAUGAAAAAGAAAAUCCACAAAGAGAUUAAUAAAAAAGUCAAAAGGCACCACCAUGACCCAUCUCCACUGACCUGGUACUGCUCCAGUGCUCCCUGCCUCUCCUGCUCCAGCUGUUCCAGUUGUUUCAUGGCAGCUUGCAGAGCGCUCUCCUUGGCUAGACGUUCCUUCUCCA